UUAAAUUGAAGAGUUUGAUCAUGGCUCAGAUUGAACGCUGGCGGCAGGCCUAACACAUGCAAGUCGAACGGUAACAGGAAACAGCUUGCUGUUUCGCUGACGAGUGGCGGACGGGUGAGUAAUGUCUGGGAAACUGCCUGAUGGAGGGGGAUAACUACUGGAAACGGUAGCUAAUACCGCAUAACGUCGCAAGACCAAAGAGGGGGACCUUCGGGCCUCUUGCCAUCGGAUGUGCCCAGAUGGGAUUAGCUAGUAGGUGGGGUAACGGCUCACCUAGGCGACGAUCCCUA
rnacentral:rRNA from 1 species